rnacentral:rRNA from 1 species
AGCGAACGCUGGCGGCAGGCCUAACACAUGCAAGUCGAACGAACUCUUCGGAGUUAGUGGCGGACGGGCGAGUAACACGUGGGAACGUGCCUUUUGGUUCGGAAUAACUCAGGGAAACUUGUGCUAAUACCGAAUGUGCCCUUCGGGGGAAAGAUUUAUCGCCAUUAGAGCGGCCCGCGUCUGAUUAGCUAGUUGGUGAGGUAACGGCUCACCAAGGCGACGAUCAGUAGCUGGUCUGAGAGGAUGACCAGCCACACUGGGACUGAGACACGGCCCAGACUCCUACGGGAAGCAGCAGUGGGGAAUCUUGCGCAAUGGGCGAAAGCCUGACGCAGCCAUGCCGCGUGAAUGAUGAAGGUCUUAGGAUUGUAAAAUUCUUUCACCGGGGACGAUAAUGACGGUACCCGGAGAAGAAGCCCCGGCUAACUUCGUG